rnacentral:rRNA from 1 species
GACGAACGCUGGCGGCGUGCCUAAUACAUGCAAGUAGAACGCACAGUUUAUACCGUAGCUUGCUCCACCAUAGACUGUGAGUUGCGAACGGGUGAGUAACGCGUAGGUAACCUGCCUGGUAGCGGGGGAUAACUAUUGGAAACGAUAGCUAAUACCGCAUAAUAUUGAUUAUUGCAUGAUAAUUGAUUGAAAGAUGCUAUUGCAUCACUACCAGGUGGACCUGCGUUGUAUUAGCUAGUAGGUGAGGUAACGGCUCACCUAGGCGACGAUACAUAGCCGACCUGAGAGGGUGAUCGGCCACACUGGGACUGAGACACGGCCCAGACUCCUACGGGAGGCAGCAGUAGGGAAUCUUCGGCAAUGGACGAAAGUCUGACCGAGCAACGCCGCGUGAGUGAAGAAGGUUUUCGGAUCGUAAAGCUCUGUUGUAAGAGAAGAACGGGUGUGAGAGUGGAAAGUUCACACUGUGACGGUAUCUUACCAGAAAGGGACGGCUAACUACGUG